AUGUUACCUGUCCCGACCUCACAGAGAACCCCUUCACCAAAAGUCCUGAGAUCCUUUGGUCGUCGGAGAACUUCAUCCUCUUCUGUGUCCAUCUCGUCCUACCCGGCCCACCAGAGUUCUUCCUCUAUACGGUCGAAGGCCCGGAGUUCCCAGACGCCGAUGCUUAGUCUGCUUCCUGGUUUUGGCUCGUAUUGUGAUCGCGAGAUGCUAGAUCCAUACCUUAUAGGCGUCGUUCCGGACGUUGACGGCAAGGGCCACUUCUUGACCGCUUUCAAAAGGAAGGAGUCAGCGGAUUGCGAACACCACAUCUACAGGCUCGAAGGCAGUAUCGGGACCUGGAGCAAAGAGCAUCUUUUCCCAGAUUUUCCCUCCUGGGCACGUUCAGGGGUUUUUCCAGAUAAGGUGGUUGCAUUACAUCAAGAAGUGGGCUAUGUUGAUCUCUUGAAGGGGAUUCUUUUCUGCAAUGUGGUCAAAAAUCCGGUGAAGGCACGUUUCAUUCCAUUGCCGAACCUGCUACCCAACAACCAACACUACUUCUAUGAAGAAUUGCCAGGACAGGCAAUACGCGAUGUCACCUGCACUGAUGGUUAUAAAAUCGUAUGUGUUGAGCUGGAAGAUUUAUUCGGUUUCACAACCAGAAUCCCCGAUCCUGAUGUACUCUAUGAUUUUGAAGUUGAUCCAUCUGAGAAGGUGGUAAAGCGCAUGUGUGUUGGUUGGAGGCUCGUGACAUGGUAUAGGGAGAUCUUUUGGGACCAUUGGCAAAAGGUGUGUAAGAUUCAUGUUGAUGAACUUGGAGAAGUCUCCUUGCCUCCUCAUGGUAGAACAGAACCCUUGCCACCUAAGAACCUGAAACCAUCUUCUAGAGCUAAAAAGUUGCCUCUGAGCGACCUGCAAACAGCUUGUCCGAUCCUCUGUGGCGAUUAUGUUUGCCUCCUCUCCAAGUGGGACUAUCGUGAUGAUGAGGCUUGGAUUGUCACUGUUGACAUGUGGAAGAAAGCAGUGAGAGGACUGGUGCCAGUUAAAGAUGGGAUAUCCAUGCGUCUCAAUCCAGCCUACGUAUCCUGUGUGACGAAGAAUUAUCGCAAGAGUGAAUCAGAUGGACGUAGCUCUCUUGUGAAGGAUACUCCUUUUCACGGCAAACGUUGUCUGUCGCUCCUGGAAAACACUAGUAACAGUUUCCAGCCGAAGAGGACACUGAGGGGUUCGACAAUGGAACGAAGAGAACGAUAUGGUUGA
rnacentral:rRNA from 1 species